UGAUGUGGAUUAAUUCGAUGCAACGCGAAAAACCUUACCUACCCUUGACAUGUCCGGAAUCCUGGAGAGAUCUGGGAGUGCUCGCAAGAGAACCGGAACACAGGUGCUGCAUGGCUGUCGUCAGCUCGUGUCGUGAGAUGUUGGGUUAAGUCCCGCAACGAGCGCAACCCUUGUCAUUAGUUGCCACCAUUCAGUUGGGCACUCUAAUGAGACUGCCGGUGACAAACCGGAGGAAGGUGGGGAUGACGUCAAGUCCUCAUGGCCCUUAUGGGUAGGGCUUCACACGUCAUACAAUGGUCGGUACAGAGGGUCGCCAACCCGCGAGGGGGAGCCAAUCCCACAAAGCCGAUCGUAGUCCGGAUUGGAGUCUGCAACUCGACUCCAUGAAGUCGGAAUCGCUAGUAAUCGUGGAUCAGCAUGUCACGGUGAAUACGUUCCCGGGUCUU
rnacentral:rRNA from 1 species